rnacentral:rRNA from 1 species
UACGGAGGGGGCUAGCGUUGUUCGGAAUUACUGGGCGUAAAGCGCACGUAGGCGGCUUUGUAAGUUAGAGGUGAAAGCCCGGGGCUCAACCCCGGAAUUGCCUUUAAGACUGCAUCGCUUGAACGUCGGAGAGGUGAGUGGAAUUCCGAGUGUAGAGGUGAAAUUCGUAGAUAUUCGGAAGAACACCAGUGGCGAAGGCGGCCCACUGGACGACUGUUGACGCUGAGGUGCGAAAGCGUGGGGAGCAAACAGG